CUGAGUUUAAUACGAAAGUAUUAUCUCCCACCCUAUGUUUAAUAUGACCUGUUGCUUCGGCGAGCCGUCGUAAGACCGUCGGCUUAUGCGGACGAGCGCUCGCCGAAGGUUCAAACUCUUAAAUUAUGUUGUCUGAGUAAUAAAUAAAACAAAUAA
rnacentral:misc_RNA from 1 species